GACGUAGGGUGCAAGCGUUGUCCGGAAUCAUUGGGCGUAAAGAGCGUGUAGGCGGCCUGGUAAGUCCGCUGUGAAAGUCCAGGGCUCAACCCUGGAAUGCCGGUGGAUACUGUCGGGCUCGAAUCCGGAAGAGGUGAGUGGAAUUCCUGGUGUAGCGGUGAAAUGCGCAGAUAUCAGGAGGAACACCAAUGGCGAAGGCAGCUCACUGGGACGGUAUUGACGCUGAGACGCGAAAGCGUGGGGAGCAAACAGG
rnacentral:rRNA from 1 species